rnacentral:misc_RNA from 1 species
AAGUCGUAACAAGGUUUCCGUAGGUGAACCUGCGGAAGGAUCAUUAACACGUAUCCACGUAUCAACCCCUUGUGCUUUUUUACGUUUUGGUUCCCCUGUCUUGAGUGAUUACCCCUUUGAGGCUGGUACGGGAUGGAAUGGACCUGGCCUUCGUGGCUGGGUGCCCGUGCCUGGCUGUUGUUGACGCGAGUCAGCAUCGGGAUUCUCGCUCUACCGUUACAGGGAAUUUUUCUUUCAUGUAACCAUUCUACAUGGCCUCUUAUAAACCUUAUAAACCCCUUUGUAACUUAUCUUGCUAACGCAAUUUGAAGUGGUUCUCGCUGGACGAAAGUUCGGUGGAACUCUUCAGGAUUACGAAAUGCUUGACAACUCUUAGCAACGGAUAUCUUGGUUCUC